rnacentral:rRNA from 1 species
AUUGAACGCUGGCGGCAGGCCUAACACAUGCAAGUCGAACGAGUGGCGGACGGGUGAGUAAUGUCUGGGAAACUGCCUGAUGGAGGGGGAUAACUACUGGAAACGGUAGCUAAUACCGCAUACCAUCAGAGGUGCCCAGAUGGGAUUAGCUGGUUGGUGGGGUAACGGCUUACUAGGGCGACGAUCCCUAGCAGGUGUGAUGGGAUGACCGGCCACACUGGAACUGAGACACGGUCCAGAGUCCUACGGGAGGCAGGAGUGGAGAAUAUUGGACAAGGGGCGCAAGCGUGAUGCAGCCAUGCAGCGUGUAUGAAGAAGGCCUGCGGGUUUUAAAGUACUUUCAGCGGGGAGGCGUUACCCGGAGAAGAAGCACCGGCUAACUCCGUGCCAGCAGCCGCGGUAAUAC